rfam:Myotis brandtii contig263604, whole genome shotgun sequence.
GUUGCUCAAUGGUUAGAGUGUUGGCCCGUUGACCCAAGGGUUGCGGGUUCGAUUCCUGCC